rnacentral:tRNA from 1 species
GUUUUAAUAAUUUAAUAAAAAUAUUAGUUUUGUAAACUAAAAUUAGGUAAAUAAACCUCUAAAACA